UACGUAGGGUGCAAGCGUUGUCCGGAAUUAUUGGGCGUAAAGAGCUCGUAGGCGGUUUGUUGCGUCGGCUGUGAAUCCCGAGGCUCAACCUCGGGUCUGCAGUCGAUACGAGCAAACUAGAGUGUUGCAGGGGAGACUGGAAUUCCUGGUGUAGCGGUGAAAUGCGCAGAUAUCAGGAGGAACACCGGUGGCGAAGGCGGGUCUCUGGGCCGAUACUGACGCUGGAGGAGCGAAAGCGUGGGGAGCGAACAGG
rnacentral:rRNA from 1 species